GUUUUAUCCUGAUCACAGAUUGCCAGCUGGCGGUUUUGUCAUGCAGUCGAACGGCAGCACGACUUCGUCCGUAGGCGCGGCAAUCAAUAUACAACGAACGCACGGUGGCAGGGAUAACUACGCGAGUGCAUGGCUUAUACCGUACCCAGCCCCGAAGGUGUGGGGACCUUCGUGCCUGCACUUAUUGUAGCGCGGCUGGUUAAUCGAUUGGCUAAUGAGGUAAGUAACGGCUCUCACCGGGUGCGACGAUCCCGUGCUGGUUUGAGAGACGACCUGCCGGAUGUCAGACUAAGACACAAACGCAGACUCCUACGGGAGGCAGCAGUGGGGAAUUUUGGACAAUGGGGAAACUCCUGAUCCAGCCAUCCCGCGUGCGAUGAAGGCCUUCGGGUUAAAGCACUUUUGGCAGGAAGAAAACGGCAUGGGAUAAUACCCCAGGCAACUGACGGUACCUGCAGAAUAAGCACCACCAACUACGUGCCAGCAGCCGCGGUAAUACGUAGGGUGCAAGCGUUAAUCGGAAUUACUGGGCGGCAAGCGUGCGCAGGCGGUUCGGAAAGAAAGAUGUGAAAUCCCAGAGCUUAACUUUGAACUGCAUUUUUAACUACCGAGCUAGAGUGUGUCAGAGGAGGUGGAAUUCGCGUAGCAGUGAAAUGCGUAGAUAUGCGGAGGAACACCGAUGGCGAAGGCAGCCUCCGGAUAACACUGACGCUCAUGCACGAAAGCGUGGGAGCAAACAGGAUUAGAUACCCUGGUAGUCCACGCCCCAAACGAUGUCAACUAGCUGCUGGGGCUCUCGGGCCUUGGUAGCGCAGCUAACGCGUGAAGUUGACCGCCCGGGGAGUACGGUCGCAAGAUUAAAACUCAAAGGAAUUGACGGGACCCGCACAAGCGGUGGAUGAUGUGGAUUAAUUCCGGAUGCAACGCGAAAAACCUUACUCACCCUUGACAUGUCUGGAAUCCCGAAGAGAUUUGGGAGUGCUCGCAAGAGAACCGGAACACAGGUGCUGUAUGGCCGUCGUCAGCUCGUGUCGUGAGAUGCUGGGUUAAGUCCCGCAACGAGCGCAACCCUGGUCAUUAGUUGCCACGAAAGGGCACUCUAAUGAGACUGCCGGUGACAACCAGAGGAAGGUGGGGAUGACGUCAAGUCCUCAUGGCCCUUAUGGGUAGGGCUUCACACGUCAUACAAUGGUCGGGACAGAGGGUCGCCAACCCGCGAGGGGGAGCCAAUCCCAGAAACCCGAUCGUGGGGUCCGGAUCGUAGUCUGCAACCUGACUGCGUAAGUCGGAAUCGCCAGUAAUCGCGGAUCAGCAUGUCGCGGUGAAUACGUUCCCGGGUCUUGUACACCGCCCGUCACACCAUGGAGUGGGUUUUACCAGAAGUAGUUAGCCUAACCGUAAGGGGAGGGCGAUUACCACGGUAGGAUUCAUGAUCAGGGGUGAAGUCGUAACAAGGUAG
rnacentral:rRNA from 1 species